AAGAUGUUCAGUGUCCUGGAGUACAAGGCUUAAUUGAAAUAAAUCAUGAUGAAUAUGGAACUAACAAAAAGGAAGAAAUUUCAGAUAUUGAGGAAAGAAUGGAACUAAAUUCUUCAGUUACUUCACAAGAUGUUUUGAUGACUAGCCCUGAAAAAAAUAUACCAUCACAAAAUAACAUCUCACAAGAAGUUAAUCCUUCUCAAUUGGUACUACUUGAUAAUAAAAGUGUCUCUACUGAAUGCCACCUUCUUGAUUCGGCCUAAACUUCAGUAAUCAGGUGGAGAGGCG
rnacentral:lncRNA from 1 species